GCUAGGAUCAGUGGCGCAUGCCUGUAAUCCCAGUAGCUCAGGAGGCUGAGGCAGGAAGAUCGCUGGUUCAAAGCCAGCCUCAGCAAUACUGAGGUGCUAAGCAACUCAGUGAGACCCUGUCUCUA
rnacentral:sRNA from 1 species